rnacentral:rRNA from 1 species
UACAGAGGUGGCAAGCGUUGUUCGGAAUUACUGGGCGUAAAGGGCGCGUAGGCGGCCAUCUAAGUCAGACGUGAAAUCCCCCGGCUUAACCUGGGAACUGCGUCUGAUACUGGAAGGCUUGAGUAUGGGAGAGGGAUGUAGAAUUCCAGGUGUAGCGAUGAAAUGCGUAGAUAUCUGGAGGAAUACCGGUGGCGAAGGCGGCAUCCUGGACCAUUACUGACGCUGAGGCGCGAAAGCUAGGGGAGCAAACGGG